rnacentral:rRNA from 1 species
AUUGAACGCUGGCGGCAGGCCUAACACAUGCAAGUCGAGCGAGCGGCGGACGGGUGAGUAAUGCCUGGGAAACUGCCUGAUGGAGGGGGAUAACUACUGGAAACGGUAGCUAAUACCGCAUACCAUCAGAUGUGCCCAGAUGGGAUUAGGUAGUGGGUGGGGUAAUGGCUCACCUAGGCGACGAUCCCUAGCUGGUCUGAGAGGAUGACCAGCCACACGGGGACGGGGACACGGUCCAGACUCCUACGGGGGGCAGCAGGGGGGAAUAUUGCGCAAUGGGGGCAAGCCUGAUGCAGCCAUGCCGCGUGGAUGAAGAAGGCCUUCGGGUUGUAAAGUUCUUUCGGCGGGGAGGCGUUACCCGCAGAAGAAGCACCGGCUAACUCCGUGCCAGCAGCCGCGGUAAUUC